CGAGAGAUCGUAUCCUUCAGUUCGGCUGGAUCGGAGACAGGUGCUGCAUGGCUGUCGUCAGCUCGUGUCGUGAGAUGUUGGGUUAAGUCCCGCAACGAGCGCAACCCUCGCCCUUAGUUGCCAGCAUUCAGUUGGGCACUCUAAGGGGACUGCCGGUGAUAAGCCGAGAGGAAGGUGGGGAUGACGUCAAGUCCUCAUGGCCCUUACGGGCUGGGCUACACACGUGCUACAAUGGUGGUGACAGUGGGCAGCGAGACCGCGAGGUCGAGCUAAUCUCCAAAAGCCAUCUCAGUUCGGAUUGCACUCUGCAACUCGAGUGCAUGAAGUUGGAAUCGCUAGUAAUCGCAGAUCAGCAUGC
rnacentral:rRNA from 1 species